UGACCUCAAAAUAGCAGGGGUCGAGGUCGGCCAAUGAGACAAUGGUGGAUAAGCUUCAUCGUCGAGAGGGAAACAACCCAAAUCACCAACUAAGGCCCCUAAAUGACCACUCAGUGAUAAAUGAGGUAAGGUCCAGAGACAACCAGGAGGUUUGCCUAGAAGCAACCACUCUUGGAAGAGAGUAAUAGCUCACUGAUUGAGUGCUCCUACGCUGAAGAUGAACGGGACUAAGCUAUCUGUCGAAGUUGUGGGAUGUAAAAAUGUAUCAGCAGGGGAGCGUUCCACCUUAGGAGAAAGCACCCGCGUGAACGGGAGUAGACAAAGCGGAAGCG
rfam:Gossypium hirsutum cultivar TM-1 chromosome 22, whole genome shotgun sequence